ACCCCAUUUAUUUGAACUUUUUUAAUUUAUUGUCUAAUGUGUAUGCACAUCUUGUUUUCUUGUGAUGUUUAUAAAAGCGAUCACUUAAGUAUUAAAAUAGGCAAUCUUAUUAGACGUCAACCAAUCCUGUCUAAAGAUGUAGAUUCCACUACUAAACAUAGUAGCCCUUUUAGUCCAACUAGAAAUUUGAUUAGGGAUGAAGAGAAUUGGAGACAAAUCAUACCUGAGGUUGACUAAUCUUUCUUGAAAAUAUCA
rnacentral:lncRNA from 1 species